rnacentral:rRNA from 1 species
AGAGUUUGAUUCUGGCUCAGGAUGAACGCUGGCGGCGUGCCUAACACAUGCAAGUCGAGCGAUCUCUCGGAGAAGAGCGGCGGACGGGUGAGUAACGCGUGGGUAACCUGCCCUGUACACACGGAUAACAUACCGAAAGGUAUGCUAAUACGGGAUAAUAUGUUUGAUCGCAUGGUCGAAAUAUCAAAGCUCCGGCGGUACAGGAUGGACCCGCGUCUGAUUAGCUAGUUGGUGAGGUAAUGGCUCACCAAGGCGACGAUCAGUAGCCGACCUGAGAGGGUGAUCGGCCACAUUGGAACUGAGACACGGUCCAAACUCCUACGGGAGGCAGCAGUGGGGAAUAUUGCACAAUGGGCGAAAGCCUGAUGCAAGCAACGCCGCGUGAGCGAUGAAGGCCUUCGGGUCGUAAAGCUCUGUCCUCAAGGAAGAUAAUGACGGUACUUGAGGAGGAAGCCCCGGCUAACUACGUGCCAGCAGCCGC